rnacentral:rRNA from 1 species
AGUGAACGCUGGCGGUAGGCCUAACACAUGCAAGUCGAACGGCAGCACAGUAAGAGCUUGCUCUUACGGGUGGCGAGUGGCGGACGGGUGAGGAAUACAUCGGAAUCUACUUUUUCGUGGGGGAUAACGUAGGGAAAUUUACGCUAAUACCGCAUACGACCUACGGGUGAAAGCAGGGGAUCUUCGGACCUUGCGCGAUUGAAUGAGCCGAUGUCGGAUUAGCUAGUUGGCGGGGGAAAGGCCCACCAAGGCGACGAUCCGUAGCUGGUCUGAGAGGAUGAUCAGCCACACUGGAACUGAGACACGGUCCAGACUCCUACGGGAGGCAGCAGUGGGGAAUAUUGGACAAUGGGCGCAAGCCUGAUCCAGCCAUACCGCGUGGGUGAAGAAGGCCUUCGGGUUGUAAAGCCCUUUUGUUGGGAAAGAAAAGCAGCAGGUUAAUACCCCGCUGUUCUGACGGUACCCAAAGAAUAAGCACCGGCUAACUUCGUG